rnacentral:rRNA from 1 species
UACGGGGGGGGCAAGCGUUGUUCGGAAUUACUGGGCGUAAAGGGCUCGUAGGCGGCCAACUAAGUCCGACGUGAAAUCCCCAGGCUUAACCGGGGAACUGCGUCUGAUACUGGAUGGCUUGAGAUCGGGAGAGGGAUGCGGAAUUCCAGGUGUAGCGGUGAAAUGCGUAGAUAUCUGGAGGAACACCGGUGGCGAAGGCGGCAUCCUGGACCGACACUGACGCUGAGGAGCGAAAGCCAGGGGAGCAAACGGG